UUAAACGCGCAGUGGUCACAACACUAGUUGCAGUCUUCUCCUGAACAAAGGUGUUGCAACUGAGGAAAGGCUACCAACUUUGCUAUUUCUACCUACUAGAAGAAGAAUAAAAAUAGGAUAUUGGAGUCAAUGGAUGAGGAAGAACUGCUGCUUUUGAGCCUGCUUGCAA